AGACAAAGGAAUGGAACAGGAUAGCUUGCAGGAAGAAUAAUGGCACAAAGACAUGCCACAGUUCCUGAGAGUUAAUGCAAGGAACAGUUGGUGAUAUGAUAUCCAUCAGUGCAAGAAUUUCACAAUAUUUAAGACCCUCAGCUGCUGGAGGCCAUCAGCCAGGACAGAAUGGACCUGUCCUAGGGCAGCACUUGCUGGAAGGCAAGUAAGCACACACAGGCAGGACCUACAAAAGCAAAGCAAGCACAACAGGGCUCCUUUUCUGCUGUGGGAGCUGCCUUCACUGCCAAAGGAAUGAUUGUAUCACUGUUUCUAGAGCCAAGCCAGAUCAUGUUCGUGUGGCCAUCUCCAAAUAAACAAGAAAAC